rnacentral:rRNA from 1 species
AUUGAACGCUGGCGGCAGGCUUAACACAUGCAAGUCGAGCGGGGGAAGGUAGCUUGCUACUGGACCUAGCGGCGGACGGGUGAGUAAUGCUUAGGAAUCUGCCUAUUAGUGGGGGACGACAUCUCGAAAGGGGUGCUAAUACCGCAUACGUCCUACGGGAGAAAGCAGGGGAUCUUCGGACCUUGCGCUAAUAGAUGAGCCUAAGUCGGAUUAGCUAGUUGGUGGGGUAAAGGCCUACCAAGGCGACGAUCUGUAGCGGGUCUGAGAGGAUGAUCCGCCACACUGGGACUGAGACACGGCCCAGACUCCUACGGGAGGCAGCAGUGGGGAAUAUUGGACAAUGGGGGGAACCCUGAUCCAGCCAUGCCGCGUGUGUGAAGAAGGCCUUAUGGUUGUAAAGCACUUUAAGCGAGGAGGGGGCUACUUUAGUUAAUACCUAGAGAUAGUGGACGUUACUCGCAGAAUAAGCACCGGCUAACUCUGUGCCAGCCGCCGCCGUAA